CCUCUUAACAGGUUUUGAUAAAUCUCCCCCAGUGUUUUUGUCAAAAAUGCCACAAAGAUGUCAUUUUGGAAGAAAAGAAAUGAGUGAGGGGCCGGUGCUGGACACUGUAGGGACGCGGGAAUGUGAAGUCAAAAACAUGACUGUGACUGAUGCACUAUUUCCAGCAUGUGGAGUAGCAUUUCCGGACUUACUGCAAGAAGUUGGAUGAUGGCCUAGAUUUCCGGACUUACAGCAAGAAGUUGGAUGAUGGCCUAGAUUUCCGGACCUACAGCAAGAAGUUGGAUGAAGGCACAGCCCCUCAAAUCACGCACAUACACAGACACAUUUGCCCAAAUUCUAGAGGUAACCUCCUUUAGUAUGCCCAGAGGAAGGGCAAUACAGUAGCCAUGGAUUCCCUACAGGUUUCCUCCCCUCUGGAGGUUUUUCCUGUCCUGAGUUAGUUACUGUACGCUCUUUGUGAGUGAUGGGAGGUUACAAAAAAUCCCUACACAAACACUUUAAUAAAUAAUAA